GAUGAACGCUGGCGGCGUGCUUAACGCAUGCAAGUCGAGCGAGAAGACUUUGACAGAUCCUUCGGGUGACGGAUAAGUUGGAAAGCGGCGGACGGGUGAGUAACGCGUGGGUAACCUGCCCCAUACACAGGGAUAGCCAUUGGAAACGAUGAUUAAUACCUGAUAAUACAUAUGAAUCGCAUGAUUUGAAUGUCAAAGAUUUUAUCGGUAUGGGAUGGACCCGCGUCUGAUUAGCUAGUUGGUAAGGUAAUGGCUUACCAAGGCGACGAUCAGUAGCCGACCUGAGAGGGUGAUCGGCCACACUGGAACUGAGACACGGUCCAGACUCCUACGGGAGGCAGCAGUGGGGAAUAUUGCACAAUGGG
rnacentral:rRNA from 1 species